rnacentral:rRNA from 1 species
UACAGAGGGUGCGAGCGUUAAUCGGAUUUACUGGGCGUAAAGCGUGCGUAGGUGGCCAAUUAAGUCAAAUGUGAAAUCCCUGAGCUUAACUUAGGAAUUGCAUUCGAUACUGGUUGGCUAGAGUAUGGGAGAGGAUGGUAGAAUUCCAGGUGUAGCGGUGAAAUGCGUAGAUAUCAGGAGGAACACCGGUGGCGAAGGCGGUUUACUGGACGACAACUGACGCUGAGACACGAAAGUGUGGGGAGCAAACAGG